rnacentral:rRNA from 1 species
UACGGAGGGUGCGAGCGUUGUCCGGAAUCAUUGGGCGUAAAGGGCGCGUAGGCGGCGCGGGUAGUCGUCGGUGAAAGCUCAGGGCUCAACCCUGAGUCGGCCGGUGAUACUCCCGUGCUCGAGCACUGUAGAGGCAGGUGGAAUUCCGGGUGUAGCGGUGGAAUGCGUAGAGAUCCGGAAGAACACCGGUGGCGAAGGCGGCCUGCUGGGCAGUAGCUGACACUGAGGCGCGACAGCGUGGGGAGCAAACAGG